AUUGAACGCUGGCGGCAUGCUUUACACAUGCAAGUCGAACGGUAACAGGCCUUCGGGUGCUGACGAGUGGCGCACGGGUGCGUAAUGCAUCGGAACGUACCCAGAGGUGGGGGAUAACGCAGCGAAAGCUGUGCUAAUACCGCAUGUGAUCUGAGGAUGAAAGCGGGGGACCGAGCAGCAAUGUUUGGCCUCGCGCCUUUGGAGCGGCCGAUGUCGGAUUAGCUAGUUGGUGGGGUAAAGGCCUACCAAGGCGACGAUCCGUAGCUGGUCUGAGAGGACGACCAGCCACACUGGGACUGAGACACGGCCCAGACUCCUACGGAAGGCAGCAGUGGGGAAUUUUGGACAAUGGGCGCAAGCCUGAUCCAGCAAUGCCGCGUGCGGGAAGAAGGCCUUCGGGUUGUAAACCGCUUUUGGCAGGAACGAAACGGUGUCCGCUAAUACCGGGCGCUAAUGACGGUACCUGCAGAAUAAGCACCGGCUAACUACGUG
rnacentral:rRNA from 1 species